rnacentral:tRNA from 2 species
GCCGACGUGGUGAAAUUGGUAUACACGUACGCUCGAGGUGCGUAUGCCGCAAGGUGUGGAGGUUCAAGUCCUCUCGUCGGCACCA